rnacentral:rRNA from 1 species
GGAAUAUUGCACAAUGGGCGCAAGCCUGAUGCAGCCAUGCCGCGUGUAUGAAGAAGGCCUUCGGGUUGUAAAGUACUUUCAGUGGGGAGGAAGGCGAUAAGGUUAAUAACCUUGUCGAUUGACGUUACCCGCAGAAGAAGCACCGGCUAACUCCGUGCCAGCAGCCGCGGUAAUACGGAGGGUGCAAGCGUUAAUCGGAAUUACUGGGCGUAAAGCGCACGCAGGCGGUCUGUCAAGUCGGAUGUGAAAUCCCCGGGCUCAACCUGGGAACUGCAUUCGAAACUGGCAGACUAGAGUCUUGUAGAGGGGGGUAGAAUUCCAGGUGUAGCGGUGAAAUGCGUAGAGAUCUGGAGGAAUACCGGUGGCGAAGGCGGCCCCCUGGACAAAGACUGACGCUCAGGUGCGAAAGCGUGGGGAGCAAACAGGAUUAGAUACCCGAG